GAUGAACGCUGGCUACAGGCUUAACACAUGCAAGUCGAGGGGAAACGACGGGGAAGCUUGCUUCCCCGGGCGUCGACCGGCGCACGGGUGAGUAACGCGUAUCCAACCUGCCUCUGACUGAGGGAUAACCCGUCGAAGGUCGGCCUAAUACCUCAUGGCAUCGUCUGCGGGCAUCCAACGACGAUUAAAGAUUUCAUCGGUCAGGGAUGGGGAUGCGUCUGAUUAGCUUGUUGGCGGGGUAACGGCCCACCAAGGCUACGAUCAGUAGGGGUUCUGAGAGGAAGGUCCCCCACAUUGGAACUGAGACACGGUCCAAACUCCUACGGGAGGCAGCAGUGAGGAAUAUUGGUCAAUGGGCGGGAGCCUGAACCAGCCAAGUAGCGUGCAGGAUGACGGCCCUAUGGGUUGUAAACUGCUUUUAUGCGGGGAUAAAGUGAGGGACGUGUCCUUCAUUGCAGGUACCGCAUGAAUAAGGACCGGCUAAUUCCGUG
rnacentral:rRNA from 1 species